rnacentral:lncRNA from 1 species
CCAACGGCCCCUGAAGAAGUCGUUGGGAUCCGUUAAGUUCCAGCGGCACUUCGCUCAUUUUUCUCUAAGAUGGCAUGAAGCUGACUUAGUUGGAGAACGGGCUUAUGGGGAUCUCCCCUUUCAGGAAGAUGAGAACUGCUAUAAGGAUUCAGGAAAACCCCUGAGGCCCAGGAUGUGGAGAACUGAGCGCCCCGUCCCUCACCGCCGGUUGGUUGUAGACGUUGUGGAGGGAGGGGUGCAAGGGGUUUUGUGCUCCCGGUCCCGCCAGGAGAUGGGCGGUGGUUGGAGAUGGGCCCCCAAGUCCUUCACAAGCCCCUUCCCCCUCGCCUCGGGGCUCAUCCGAGCAUUUCUCCGCUCUUUUCUCCCUUUACCUCUGUGUCUCUCUUGUGGGAAGAUUCCAUUCUUCCAUCCCAAGGAGGAGAGCCACUCGAAUGUCCUGAAAGACACUGGGACUCCGAGGACAGGAUGGGUCAGUCAAGCCAUAACAGAGCAUGGAGCCAGUUCCUUUGUCCACCCUGUCAUCUUCUAGGAACUAGGAAGCACCCUUCCUGCGUCCCUGCCCCAGUGGACUUCCCCAGUUCUUCCUUCCCAGCCGUUGCUGUGGCAUUAGCCAUCUGGAAAAAGAGCUGCUGGUAGGACCUGGGACUUUUGUUCACACCCAUAAGCCUUCCCUCCAGAUAUCCAGUACUUUGCCUUCAGGAAGGAGACUUGAACUUCAGGCAACCGGAGAAAACCAAACCUUCAAGGGCUUUGGUUCCCUCCAAGGCCAAGGUUCCCAAGAUCCUUGGUUAAGAGGUCUGGGCCACUGCCGUCCCGUCUUCACUCUUCUUUUCCGUUUGUCCCAUAGUUCUGCUAUAACCCCAAAGCUUUUCUGUUUACCAUCAACAUGGAAACUUGACUCUUCAUAUAGGUAUAUUUUCCCUCUUUUGUGCAUCAUCUUGUUCCCAAAAACUGCCUUUUCAUGAAGGAGGCUUGUGGGACUCAAGGGGCCUGGCCAGUCACCCAGCCUCCCCCGAAGCCUCAGACCACUGGUAAUGUGGAGAAGUUUAAUAAAGAU